UGUAUGAUGACCUUAACGAUUAGAGCGUCCGCCUCAGAUGCGCAAGGUCGCGGGUUCGAACCCCGGGUGAGUCAUAUUAA